rnacentral:rRNA from 1 species
GUCUACGGCCAUGCCACCUUGAACGUGCUGGAUCUCGUCUGAUCUUGGAAGCUAAGCAGGGUCAUGUCUGGUUAGUACUUGGAUGGGAGUCCACCUUGGAAUACCAUAUGCUGUAGGCA